rnacentral:rRNA from 1 species
CCUACGGGUGGCAGCAGUGAGGGAUAUUGGUCAAUGGGGGAAACCCUGAACCAGCAACGCCGCGUGAGGGAAGACGGUUUUCGGAUUGUAAACCUCUGUCCUCUGUGAAGAUAAUGACGGUAGCAGAGGAUGAAGCUCCGGCUAACUACGUGCCAGCAGCCGCGGUAACACGUAGGGAGCGAGCGUUGUCCGGAUUUACUGGGUGUAAGGGGUGCGUAGGGGGCCCUGCAAGUCAGAAGUGAAAUCGAUGGGCUUAACCCGUAAACUGCUUUUGAAACCGCAGGACUUGAGUGGAGUAGAGGUAGGCGGAAUUCGCGGUGUAGCGGUGAAAUGCGUAGAGAUCGGGAGGAACACCAGUGGCGAAGGCGGCCUACUGGGCUUUAACUGACGCUGAAGCACGAAAGCGUGGGUAGCAAACAGGAUUAGAUACCCUUGUAGUC